rnacentral:rRNA from 1 species
AUACGGAGGGGACAAGCGUUAUUCGGAAUCACUGGGCGUAAAGGACGCGUAGGCGGGUUAUUAAGUCGGGUGUGAAAUCCAAUGGCUCAACCAUUGAACUGCAUUCGAAACUGAUAACCUAGAGUAUGGAAGGGGCAGGUGGAAUUAGUGGUGUAGGGGUAAAAUCCGUAGAUAUCACUAGGAAUACCGAAAGCGAAGGCGACCCGCUGGGACAUUACUGACGCUGAGGCGUGAAAGCGUGGGGAGCAAACAGGAUUAGAUACCCUAGUAGUCC